rnacentral:lncRNA from 10 species
CUGGAUGUGAGAUGGCAACUGUACUUCAGGUAAAUGUGCUGUUAACCCCAUAGCAUAGACACCUCUGGACUUCUGAAACAGAAUCCUGUGACCACCGUGGAUGAAACAUAGACUCUCAUUAAGCUGCAGUUCCAAUGCCUGAGUAGCGUGAAUUGCUUCUAUGAUAAGGCAUUAUUUAGCCUUUGCCUGAAACAGCCCUAAUGAGAAGGAUCUCGCCACCUCAUGGCAUGGUCCAGUUCAUUUUCAGAAGCUUUCUUUGUAAUCUGUGCUUAUAAAAUUGUUAACAGGGGAUAGCUAAU